CUGAGGCUUUCAGCCCCCGAGUUGUAAUUUGAAGAUGGUGUUCUGGUGCCGGCCCCCUGUCUACGUUCCUUGGAACAGGACAUCGCAGAGGGUGAGAAUCCCGUCUGGCGGGGCGGCCUGGCUCCGUGUAGAGCGCCAUCGACGAGUCGAGUUGUUUGGGAAUGCAGCUCUAAGUGGGUGGUAAAUUCCAUCUAAAGCUAAAUAUUGGCGAGAGACCGAUAGCGAACAAGUACAGUGAUGGAAAGAUGAAAAGAACUUUGAAAAGAGAGUGAAAAAGUACGUGAAAUUGUUGAAAGGGAAGGGUAUUGGAUCAGACUUGGUGCUGUGCGAAUAGCGGCUCUUCUUGGGCCGCCCACUCGCACUCCACCGGGCCAGCAUCGGUUUGGGCGGCAAGACAAUGGCGGGGGAACGUGGCACUGCUCUCGGGCAGUGUGUUUAUAGCCCCCGCUGAUGUUGCCUGCCUAGACCGAGGACUGCGGCUUCUGCCUAGGAUGCUGGCG
rnacentral:rRNA from 1 species